rnacentral:lncRNA from 1 species
GCUGAUGAAGCGGAACAACCUGAACCGGGAGGAUGCAGAGGCGAGGAUCAACGCCCAGCUGCCCCUGAAGGACAAGGCCCGCAUGGCCAAUCACGUUCUGGACAACUCGGGCGAGUGGAGCCUCACCAGACGCCAGGCCAUCCUCCUGCACGCCAAGCUGGAACGCUCCAUGGAGUAUCUGCCGCUGCGGCUUGGGUUCCUGACGGGCCUCGCAGGCAUCGCCAGUCUCCUCUACCUGCUCACCCGUUACCUCCUCCCUUCCCCCUAGCUGGGUACACCCAGGCAGCAAGCCUUAGGCUUCCUUCUCCUUGGAGGCCUGAGUUAGGUACCAUGUCCACAACACUACAACUCUCUUGACUCUGAGACUGGCCCCUGCGGUGGGGCGGCUUUGGAGUGUAACCAGUCUGGGACUCAGCAAAAGAAGCCCACUACCCCCCGCGCCCCACACACACACACCGACACCCCACCCCACCCGAGCCCUACCAUUCCUAACUACCACUGCAGAACAACAUCCAUGGUGGCAGGAAACCAGCGGUUAGCAGGCUCUGCGGCUCUCCCUAUGGUUACGACUGUGUAGCCAAAAGUGUCUUGGGCUUGAACCUUUCCAGAGCAUCUGCCGCAUCAUGGCCACAAGCUGUCUAGUGGACCACAGCAAAUCCUUCCAGACUGAAGGCCUCCUUCAAAUAGAGCUCUCCUGUGUGCAGUGUGGUUCUCCUCCUGGGCGUGCCGUGGCUGGGUCGAGCAGAGCCCUUUGGAGCAGUCCAGCUUCUGAUGGAGCUUUCCUCACAGCUAGCCACCACCCCGUGCUCUCGGCAUUCCCCAGGCCCCAAGCUCUCCUACCUCUGUGCCUUCCCCACAUGCUCCCUGCCCUGCAGUAUCUUACCCCUGGCUGCCCCAGGUCAGGCUCCAGCAGCCCCAGACUGAGUUAGGUGCUAUAGAGAUCACCUUCCUGUCUCAUCCAAAUCCACGAGAGAAUAACGCGUAACCUGGUUGGGUUCUCCCAGACUGUACGCCUCUAGAUGGCAGGGCCGAUUCAUCUCCACUCUAGUGUACCACAGCCUGCCCCACAGGUGCUCAAUAAAUGGAAUUGCUCUAAAAUGUC